rnacentral:rRNA from 1 species
AUUGAACGCUGGCGGCAGGCCUAACACAUGCAAGUCGAACGAGUGGCGGACGGGUGAAUAAUGUCUGGGACACUGCCUGAUGGAGGGGGAUAACUACUGGAAACGGUAUCUAAUCCCGUAUACUAUCAUGUGUGCCCAUAUGGGAUUAGCUUGUUGGUGGGGUAACGGCUCACCAAGGCGCCGAUCCCUAGCUGGUCUGAGAGGAUGACCAGCCACACUGGAACUGAGACACGGUCCAGACUCCUACGGGAGGCAGCAGUGGGGAAUAUUGCACAAUGGGCGCAAGCCUGAUGCAGCCAUGCCGCGUGUAUGAAGAAGGCCUUAGGGUUGUAAAGUACUUUCAGCGGGGAGGCGUUACCCGCAGAAGAAGCACCGGCUAACUCCGUGCCAGCAGCCGCGGUAAUUC